AUUGAACGCUGGCGGCAUGCCUUACACAUGCAAGUCGAACGGUAACAGGUCUUCGGAUGCUGACGAGUGGCGAACGGGUGAGUAAUACAUCGGAACGUGCCUAGUAAUGGGGGAUAACUACUCGAAAGAGUGGCUAAUACCGCAUGAGAUCUACGGAUGAAAGCAGGGGAUCGCAAGACCUUGUGCUACUAGAGCGGCCGAUGGCAGAUUAGGUAGUUGGUGGGAUAAAAGCUUACCAAGCCGACGAUCUGUAGCUGGUCUGAGAGGACGAUCAGCCACACUGGGACUGAGACACGGCCCAUACUCCUACGGGAGGCAGCAGUGGGGAAUUUUGGCCAAUGGGCGCAAGCCUGAUCCAGAAAUGCCGCGUGCAGGAUGAAGGCCUUCGGGUUGUAAACUGCUUUUGUACGGAACGAAAAGCCCUGGGUUAAUACCCUGGGGUCAUGACGGUACCGUAAGAAUAAGCACCGGCUAACUACGUGCCAGCCGCCGCCGUAA
rnacentral:rRNA from 1 species